GGUUAAGCGACUAAGCGUACACGGUGGAUGCCCUGGCAGUCAGAGGCGAUGAAGGGCGUACUAAUCUGCGAUAAGCGCCGGUAAGGUGAUAUGAACCGUUAUAACCGGCGAUACCCGAAUGGGGAAACCCAGUGUGAUUCGUCACACUAUCAUUAACUGAAUCCAUAGGUUAAUGAGGCGAACCGGGGGAACUGAAACAUCUAAGUACCCCGAGGAAAAGAAAUCAACCGAGAUUCCCCCAGUAGCGGCGAGCGAACGGGGAGGAGCCCAGAGCCUGAAUCAGCAUGUGUGUUAGUGGAAGCGUCUGGAAAGGCGCGCGAUACAGGGUGACAGCCCCGUACACAAAAGCGCAUGUGCUGUGAGCUCGAUGAGUAGGGCGGGACACGUGGUAUCCUGUCUGAAUAUGGGGGGACCAUCCUCCAAGGCUAAAUACUCCUGACUGACCGAUAGUGAACCAGUACCGUGAGGGAAAGGCGAAAAGAACCCCGGCGAGGGGAGUGAAAAAGAACCUGAAACCGUGUACGUACAAGCAGUGGGAGCACCCUUUGGGUGUGACUGCGUACCUUUUGUAUAAUGGGUCAGCGACUUAUAUUCUGUAGCAAGGUUAACCGAAUAGGGGAGCCGGAGGGAAACCGAGUCUUAACCGGGCGUUAAGUUGCAGGGUAUAGACCCGAAACCCGGUGAUCUAGCCAUGGGCAGGUUGAAGGUUGGGUAACACUAACUGGAGGACCGAACCGACUAAUGUUGAAAAAUUAGCGGAUGACCUGUGGCUGGGGGUGAAAGGCCAAUCAAACCGGGAGAUAGCUGGUUCUCCCCGAAAGCUAUUUAGGUAGCGCCUCGUGAAUUCAUCUCCGGGGGUAGAGCACUGUUUCGGCUAGGGGGCCAUCCCGGCUUACCAACCCGAUGCAAACUGCGAAUACCGGAGAAUGUUAUCACGGGAGACACACGGCGGGUGCUAACGUCCGUCGUGAAGAGGGAAACAACCCAGACCGCCAGCUAAGGUCCCAAAGUCAUGGUUAAGUGGGAAACGAUGUGGGAAGGCCCAGACAGCCAGGAUGUUGGCUUAGAAGCAGCCAUCAUUUAAAGAAAGCGUAAUAGCUCACUGGUCGAGUCGGCCUGCGCGGAAGAUGUAACGGGGCUAAACCAUGCACCGAAGCUGCGGCAGCGACACUGUGUGUUGUUGGGUAGGGGAGCGUUCUGUAAGCCUGUGAAGGUGUGUCGUGAGGC
rnacentral:rRNA from 1 species